rnacentral:rRNA from 1 species
AGGACGAACGCUGGCGGCGUGCUUAACACAUGCAAGUCGAGCGGAAAGGCCCUUCGGGGUACUCGAGCGGCGAACGGGUGAGUAACACGUGAGCAACCUGCCCUUAGCUUCGGGAUAGCUCCGGGAAACCGGAAUUAAUACCGGAUAUGACUAUGGCCGACAUCAGCCAUGGUGGAAAGUUUUUCGGCUAGGGAUGGACUCACGGCCUAUCAGCUAGUUGGUGAGGUAACGGCUCACCAAGGCGACGACGGGUAGCCGGCCUGAGAGGGCGACCGGCCACACUGGGACUGAGACACGGCCCAGACUCCUACGGGAGGCAGCAGUGGGGAAUAUUGCGCAAUGGGCGAAAGCCUGACGCAGCGACGCCGCGUGGGGGAUGAAUGCCUUCGGGUUGUAAACCCCUUCAGCAGGGACGAAGCGAAAGUGACGGUACCUGCAGAAGAAGCGCCGGCUAACUACGUGCCAGCAGCCGC